rnacentral:sRNA from 2 species
ACGGGGAAGGAUGAGAAGCUUCGACUAAGGUUCGACUCGAGCGAAGCGAGAGAACGUUGCCGCAGGCAACGGCCCGAAGGGCGAAGCGCUUUAGCGCCGAGUAAUCCUUCCCCCACCACUG